rnacentral:rRNA from 1 species
AUUGAACGCUGGCGGCAUGCCUUACACAUGCAAGUCGAACGGCAGCGGGGGAGAAGCUUGCUUUUCCUGCCGGCGAGUGGCGAACGGGUGAGUAAUACAUCGGAACGUGCCCUGUAGUGGGGGAUAACUAGUCGAAAGAUUAGCUAAUACCGCAUACGACCUGAGGGUGAAAGUGGGGGACCGCAAGGCCUCAUGCUAUAGGAGCGGCCGAUGUCUGAUUAGCUAGUUGGUGGGGUAAAGGCCUACCAAGGCGACGAUCAGUAGCUGGUCUGAGAGGACGAUCAGCCACUGGGACUGAGACACGGCCCAGACUCCUACGGGAGGCAGCAGUGGGGAAUUUUGGACAAUGGGCGAAAGCCUGAUCCAGCAAUGCCGCGUGUGUGAAGAAAGCCUUCGGGUUGUAAAGCACUUUUGUCCGGAAAGAAAUGGCUCUGGUUAAUACCUGGGGUCGAUGACGGUACCGGAAGAAUAAGGACCGGCUAACUACGUGCCAGCCGCCGCCGUAA